rnacentral:rRNA from 1 species
GAGUUUGAUCAUGGCUCAGAACGAACGCUGGCGGCGCGCUUAACACAUGCAAGUCGAACGAGAAGGCGUAGCAAUACGCUUGUACAGUGGCGAACGGGUGAGGAAUACAUGGGUAACCUACCCUCGAGUGGGGGAUAACCCGCCGAAAGGCGGGCUAAUACCGCGUACGCUUCCAACCUUUCGGGGUUGGAAGGAAAGCUGUCCCGAGGGGAUGGCGCUCAAGGAUGGGCUCAUGUCCUAUCAGCUUGUUGGUAGGGUAACGGCCUACCAAGGCAUCGACGGGUAGCUGGUCUGAGAGGACGAUCAGCCACACUGGCACUGCGACACGGGCCAGACUCCUACGGGAGGCAGCAGUGAGGAUAUUGCGCAAUGGGCGAAAGCCUGACGCAGCGACGCCGCGUGGGGGAUGAAGGUCUUCGGAUUGUAAACCCCUUUUCGGGAGGGAAGAUGGCCUUAGACAACUAAGGUGGACGGUACCUCCAGAAGCAGCCACGG